rnacentral:rRNA from 1 species
AAAACAUCUCUUCUUGAUUUAAUUUGAAGUUAGGCCUGCCCAAUGAUGAUUAAUUUAAUGGCCGCGGUAUUUUGACCGUGCAAAGGUAGCAUAAUCAUUAGCUUAAUAAUUGUAAGCUUGUAUGAAUGGUAUAACGAGAUAUUAACUGUCUCUUAUUUAUUAUUAGAAUUUAAAUUUUUAGUUAGAAUGCUUAAAUUUAUUUAUUGGACGAGAAGACCCUAUAGAUCUUUAAUAUAAUUUUUAUUUAUUAUUUUUAGUUUAUUUAAUUUUUAUAAUAUUUGUUUUUUGAUUGGGGUGAUAUGGUGAUAUAAUUAACUCAUUAUUUUACUUUACAUUUAUUUUUGAUUAUUUGACCUUUUUUAUUGUUAUAAGAUAUAGAUACCUUAGGGAUAACAGCGUGAUUUCUUUUGAGAGUUCUUAUUGACAAGGAAGAUUGCGACCUCGAUGUUGGAUUAAGAUUAAUUUUUGGUGUAGGUGCUAUAAUUUUAGGUCUGUUCGACCUUUAAAAUCUUACA